CCGGUCCUUCUAGCAUGUACUAAAGGUUCUCCCUAUUUAGUUCAGUUCCCGGUCCUUCUAGCAUGUACUAAAGGUUCUCCCUAUUUAGUUCAGUUCCCGGUCCUUCUAGCAUGUACUAAAGGUUCUCCCUAUUUAGUUCAGUUCCCGGUCCUUCUAGCAUGUACUAAAGGUUCUCCCUAUUUAGUUCAGUUCCCGGUCCUUCUAGCAUGGACUAAAGGUUCUCCCUAUUUAGUUCAGUUCCCAGUCCUUCUAGCAUGUACUAAAGGUUCUCCCUAUUUAGUUCAGUUCCCGGUCCUUCUAGCAUGUACUAAAGGUUCUCCCUAUUUAGUUCAGUUCCCAGUCCUUCUAGCAUGUACUAAAGGUUCUCCCUAUUUAGUUCAGUUCCCGGUCCUUCUAGCAUGUACUAAAGGUUCUCCCUAUUUAGUUCAGUUCCCAGUACUUCUAGCAUGUACUAAAGGUUCUCCCUAUUCCCUAUUUAGUUCAGUUCCCAGUCCUUCUAGCAUGGACUAAAGGU